rnacentral:lncRNA from 10 species
AGCUGAGGGCUCGCGGGGUGCGGGGGAGCCUGGGAAUGGUGGGGUUCAGUUUGGGACUGGCAAUCCAGUGCAUAAAGGACACCCUAGAAGUCUCGUGUUGCACCUCGGGGGACCCUGCUGGGGCCCAAAAGCCAGGCUGAACUCUCGAACUUCUGGGCUCAAGCGAUUCUCUUGCCUCAGCCUCCUGAGUAGCUGAAGCUACAGGUGCCCUCAGUGUAUUGGAUGAUACCUGCCAAUACUG